CGAAACCGAGAUGGACACGAAGUCAUUUUUCAAGGAAAUGAUGUGCUUUUUAAUAUAUCCAGAAACGAGCCCGCGCAAAACGAACCGAAAUUGUAGUACCUAUAUGCGAAUACUCAGUAUCUACUCGCUAUAUCUUUCAAAUGCGACUAUCAGACUUUUCACUCGUUAUGCCGUGGAAAUUGAAGACGCUAUCAGAAUAAUGGGUAGACAUCUGAAUUUCAAGACGUGGCAAUCAUAUAUUGUUUUUC